rnacentral:rRNA from 1 species
UAUAGAAUUUUAUACUUUCAAAUCUUAGUAGUUAAUACAAAAAAUUUGAAAGUAUUUGGUUGGGAGGACUAUUAAAUUUUAUAAACUUUAAUUUAUGCUAACUUUAAUUAAAGAAAAAUUUUUUAACGACCCUCAAUUUGGGAUAGCUAGAGUAAAUUACCUUAGGGAUAACAGCGUAAUAUUUUUUUAUAGAUCGUAUAGAAAAAAGUGAUUGCGACCUCGAUGUUGAAUUAAGAUAAAUUUUAAACGCAGGAGUUUAAUAAUUAAGUCUGU